rnacentral:lncRNA from 1 species
ACAUCCCAGGCUCCUCAAACUUCCCUUGUGUUCCCAUCCACGAGCUGCCCAUCUCCCCACUAUUCUUUUUUUUUUCUUUUUUCUUUUUUUAAAUUUUCCCACUGUACAGCAAGGGGAUCAAGUUAUCCUUACACGUAUACAUUACAAUUACAUUUUUUUCCCCACCCUUUGUUCUGUUGCAACAUGAGUAUCUAGACGAAGUUCUCAAUGCUACUCAGCAGGAUCUCCUUGUAAAUCUAUUCUAAGUUGUGUCUGAUAAGCCCAAGCUCCUGAUCCCUCCCACUCCCUCCCCCUCCCAUCAGGCAACCACAAGUCUUUUUUCCAAGUCCAUGAUUUUUUCUUUUUUCUUUUUUUUUUUCCCACUAUUCUGACUUCUUUUUUUUUUUUCUUUUUAGGGCUGCACUCAAGGCAUAUGGAAGUUCCCAGGUCAGGGGUCUAAUCAGAGCUACAGCUGCCAGCCUACACCUCAGCCACAGCAACGUGGGAUCCAAGCCGCAUCUGCAACCCACACCACAGCUCAUGGCCACGUCGGAUCCUUAACCCACUGAGGAGGCCAGGCAUCGAACCCGCAUCCUCAUGGAUACGUGGGUUUAGUCACCUCUGAGCCACGAUGGGAACUCCUAUCCUGCCCCCUGACAGCAAGGAUGAGUUUUGCCUGUUUUUGAACAUCGUGUAAAUGGAUGGAUCCCAGCCGGGAUUCUCUCGGGUGUCUUUGCUUCAUCGUUACGUCUGUGAGAUCGUCCAGGUUAUGCACAGGAGUUGGGCGUUUUGGGUAACAUUACCGUAUGGGAUAUACUUAUACUAAAAUAUGAUUUGUUGUUUCUCUGAAAUGAAAUUUCCCCGAGUGUCCUGUAUUUUAUCUGCCCCCUCAUCCUACUCUCCCAUUAAUCACCAUUGUGUAGCUUUCCGUUGGGGGCGCUUAUGAAUAGAGCUGCUGCGAAUGUUCUAAUACCUGACUUUUGGUGAACAUAUGGACUCAUUUCUUGCGGGGGUUUACCUAGGAGUGGAAUUUCUGGGUCACAGGGAAUGCAUAUGCUCAGCUCGGCGUGUACUGCCAAGAGGCGUUCCAAAUGGUACCAAUUUGCACUCCACCCAGCAGUGUGUGACGGUUCCAGUCGCUCAGCGUUCUCGCCAAUACUUGGCUUUUUCUGCUUGUUCAUUGUAGUCGUUCUAGUGGGGCGUGUUCGGUUGUAAUUUCAUUGUGGUUUUAAUUUGCACGAGGCCUGCUGAAGCCGGGCCCCUUCUCGUCGUGCGCCUCUGGGCAUCGGGGCCUCUUGCUUUGUGAACGGCCUGCUCCACGGGCUGCCCUUGCUGUGCUGGGCUGGUUGCCUUUUCCUUGUUGCUGCGUAGACACUUCUUACCUGACUGGGUUGCAGGUUACUUGUCAGAUCUGCAUCAGCUGUCUUCUCUUGGAGAGUUUCGGGGAGCAGUGGAGAGCAUUUCUGGCUGGCCGAGGCUCUUGCGCAUGACUUAGAGGAACAUGGUAGAAAGAGAAGUUUGAUAAGAAUUGCUAUAGAUCCCUUUAAAUGGCCUUUGAGAAGGCCACACUUUGUUUCUUUUGUCAUUUUAAGUAGUUUUAAAUUGAAGGGUAGCUGAUUUCCUAUGUUGUGUUAAUUUCUGCUGUACAGCAAUGUGAUUCAGUUAUAUCUAUUUAUCAUCUAUGUCUGUCUGUCUGUCUGUCCGUCUAUCUAUCUACCUACCUACCUACCUACCUAUCUGUUCUUUUCCAUGGUGGCGUAUGUUGGAAUACCAUUGGAAUCACAGGAUUAUUGAAUGUAGUUCCCUGUACUGUCCAGUAGGACCUGGUUGUUUUUCCAUUCUAUAUACAAUAGUCUGCGUCUGCCAACGCCAAACGCCCCGUCCAUCCAUGCCCACCCCCUCCCCCUUGGCAGCCACAAGUCUGUUCUCUAUGUCUAUGAGUCCGUUUCUGUUGUGUAGACAGGUUCGCUUAUCCUGUUUCAGAUGCCACACAUAAGUGAGAUCAUAGGGUAUUUGUCCUUCUCCUUCUGACUGACUUCACUUAGGAUGAGAAUCUCUAGUUGUAUCCGUGUUGCUGCAAAUGGCAUCAGGUUGUUCUUUCUUACGGCGGAGCAGUCUUGCGUUGUGUAUAUGUACCACGUCGUCUUGGUCCAUUCAUCUGCUGCUGGACAUUUAGGUUGUUUCCAUGUCUUGGCUGUUGUGAAUGGUGCUGCAUGAUCACGGGGGACAUGCAUCUUUUUGAAUGAUAGUUUUGUCUGGAUAUGCGCCCAGGAGUGGAGUUACUGGAUCAUAUAACUUUAUUUUUAGUUUUCCGCACCGUGUUUCUUUGGACAUCUUACUCACCCUGAGACUGGGCCACUAGGGCCCGUAGAUAUGUUUAGAACUUGAUGUGAAGGUGCAGAUACAUUUCCGUUGCAUUGAGUUUAUAACAUAUCUUGGGAAAUUUAACCUAGGAAGGUUGGAAGCACUUCUAAAAAUUUUGCAUAUAGAAGUUCCCGUUGUGGCUCAGCAGAAACGAAUCUGACUAGCAUCCAUGAGGACGCAGGUUCGAUCCCUGGCCUCACUCAGUGGAUUAGGGAUCCGGCAUUACUGUGAGCUGUGGUGUAGGUUGCAGAUGCAGCUUGGAUCCCGCAUUGCUAUGGCUCUGGUGUAGGCUGGUGGCUACAGCUCUGAUUCGACCCUUAGCUUGGAAACCUCCAUAUGCG